GUCACCGCCUCCAGGAGGUUGAUCGGUUGGAAAUUCUCCAUGCAGUUUUCCCUUUCCCAAUUCCAGAUAAAACUACUUAACACAAUUAAUAUGUUCAAACUCAUAUGGAAAACUAACAGCGAAACAAAUGGCUGUUUACAAUGCAUACAAUGCAGAGUUGGACUUGUAUUUUUCUUAUUAUUUGCAGUAUGCAGAGCGUGUGUCAUUGCUGUGACUGGAUCCGACACCACUACCGUCACUUGAGCGCAUAAUUCCAUUCUCUGCUGGACCAGAUGGGAGGAGAUAUCACAAAGCAGAAUGCCCCUGUCCUUUUCUCAACAUCACUUUACAGACCCAUAGAUGCCGAGUUUGAGGACAAAGUCAGAUUCCGGAACGAGGUCAUCUAUAAAAUCACAAAACUGUUUGAUGGGAAUAAGAAGUCCGUCACCUGGGACAAGAAAAACCUGGACGAUUUACUUAAAAUUCUAGAAAACUAAUUUGAAAACCUUAAUUCCUGUGUAAGUAACGGGUCUAUUUAAAGUAUAAUCCCUGUUCA